GACGAACGCUGGCGGCGUGCUUAACACAUGCAAGUCGAACGGUGACGAGGAGCUUGCUCCUCUGAUCAGUGGCGAACGGGUGAGUAACACGUGAGUAACCUGCCCCAGACUCUGGAAUAACAGUUGGAAACAGCUGCUAAUACCGGAUACGAGACGGAGAGGCAUCUCUACCGUCUGGAAAGUUUUUCGGUCUGGGAUGGACUCGCGGCCUAUCAGCUUGUUGGUGAGGUAAUGGCUCACCAAGGCGACGACGGGUAGCCGGCCUGAGAGGGCGACCGGCCACACUGGGACUGAGACACGGCCCAGACUCCUACGGGAGGCAGCAGUGGGGAAUAUUGCACAAUGGGCGAAAGCCUGAUGCAGCAACGCCGCGUGAGGGAUGACGGCCUCGGUUGUAACCUACUUCUAGUAGGAAGAAGCGAAAGUAGACGGUACUACAGAAGAAGACACCGGCUAACUAACGUGCCAGCAGCCGCGGUAAAGUACGACGUCG
rnacentral:rRNA from 1 species